AAGUCGAACGCUUCUUUCCUCCCGAGUGCUUGCACUCAAUUGGAAAGAGGAGUGGCGGACGGGUGAGUAACACGUGGGUAACCUACCCAUCAGAGGGGGAUAACACUUGGAAACAGGUGCUAAUACCGCAUAACAGUUUAUGCCGCAUGGCAUAAGAGUGAAAGGCGCUUUCGGGUGUCGCUGAUGGAUGGACCCGCGGUGCAUUAGCUAGUUGGUGAGGUAACGGCUCACCAAGGCCACGAUGCAUAGCCGACCUGAGAGGGUGAUCGGCCACACUGGGACUGAGACACGGCCCAGACUCCUACGGGAGGCAGCAGUAGGGAAUCUUCGGCAAUGGACGAAAGUCUGACCGAGCAACGCCGCGUGAGUGAAGAAGGUUUUCGGAUCGUAAAACUCUGUUGUUAGAGAAGAACAAGGACGUUAGUAACUGAACGUCCCCUGACGGUAUCUAACCAGAAAGCCACGGCUAACUACGUGCCAGCAGCCGCGGUAAUACGUAGGUG
rnacentral:rRNA from 1 species